CCCUUAGAUGUUCUGGGCCGCACACGCGCUACACUGAAGGAGGCAGCGUGUACUCCUGGAUCGAAAGAUUUGGGUAACCCGCGAAUCUCCUUCGUGCUAGGGAUUGAGGUUUGCAAUUAUCCUUCAUGAACGAGGAAUUCCCAGUAAGUGCAAGUCAUAAGCUUGCGCUGACUACGUCCCUGCCCUUUGUACACACCGCCCGUCGCACCUACCGAUUGAAUGGUCCGGUGAAAUUCUCGGACGCGGACUAGCGAUGUUAAUUCGGAGCUUGACUGUGAAAGUUAAUUAAACCUUACCAUUUAGAGGAAGGUGAAGUCGUAACA
rnacentral:rRNA from 1 species